CUGCUCCCGCCCAGCAUUGGUUUGGGGCGAAUAAAAGCCCCCUGGAAAAGUAGCUCCCCCUCGGGAGUUUAAUCGCCUAGGGUGCAUUGCUGCUUGUUGGACAGAGGACCGCGCUUCGGCUUGGUGUGGCGUAAAGGUUGAUUUUUUUUCAAAUACCCAAUAGCGGAGGAAAAGAAACCAACAGGGAUUACCUCAGUAACGGCGAGUGAAGCGGUAACAGCUCAAAUUUGAAAUCUGGCCUCACGGUCCGAGUUGUAAUUUGUAGAGGAUGCUUCGAGCAUGGUCUGGCCUAAGUUCCUUGGAACAGGACGUCAUAGAGGGUGAGAAUCCCGUAUGCGGCCAGGUGCCUACGCUCAUGUGAAGCUCCUUCGACGAGUCGAGUUGUUUGGGAAUGCAGCUCAAAAUGGGUGGUAAAUUUCAUCUAAAGCUAAAUAUUGGCCAGAGACCGAUAGCGCACAAGUAGAGUGAUCGAAAGAUGAAAAGCACUUUGGAAAGAGAGUUAAACAGUACGUGAAAUUGUUGAAAGGGAAGCGCUUGCAACCAGACUUGCGCGCGGCCGAUCAUCCGGUGUUCUCACCGGUGCACUCGGCCGUGCUCAGGCCAGCAUCGGUUUUGGCGGCUGGAUAAAGGCCCUAGGAAUGUAGCUCCUCUCGGGGAGUGUUAUAGCCUAGGGUGCAAUGCAGCCUGCUGGGACCGAGGACCGCGCUCGGCUAGGUGGCUGCGACCGCACAAAAUCG
rnacentral:rRNA from 1 species